GAUUGGUUUUUGACCCAAAAAAAAAACAUGCGUCUUAUCCAGACGCUCCCGCUUCCUUUCCAGCCGCGGCGGAGCGGACGAAGUUGAGGGGCGGCAUGGCGGAGAAGGAGAAGUUGACGGGCGGCGGCCUUGUCGCCGGACGGCUACAGCCACGGCGGAGUAGAAGGCGGACGCUGUGGGCGCGUGCUCGGGUAAGGGAGGCCAUCGUUACUGCGCUUGAUGGAUGACAAAAGAGGGGACAUUUUCUGGUGGGUACGCCGACCGAGAGCACGCGCCGUCGCCAAUCCUCUCGGUCCUCCUCAGUCGUAUCCUUCUCAAGCUCCGACAGGCUGCUCCCGUGUCGUGAUUUGGAUGGACAAUUGGAGGCCGUGUCCUUGUCCAACACCCAGCAAUGGAGUGUCCAACCCGGAUUUGAGUUGCUUGCUAUAAGAAAGAAGGAGGGGUCCUUGGCCAGAAUAUCCAUCAGGUUGUGUCCUUGGACCAUAAGCUCCAUCAAAGCCGUCCAAAUUGCAAUUUCCGAUGAAACAUCCAAUGUCGCUGCCGAGUUCGCCGGAGGAAGAAGCGCCGAGUUCGCCGGAGGAACAAGAACAUCCAUCCAACCGUCCAAUGUCGCCUGCCUCGGCUAGACCAGAUGGAUUCAUAUUUUCUGGCUGGAAUCAACAAGCUCACAUAAUCUUCAGUCUUCCACAAUUAUGUUUUGCUUCAUGUUCUAUGAUAAGGUUGUAAUCUGCUGGUGUGGUGCUGCCCUGCUUUGAUUUGGAGAUUAAUCUGGGAUCUAAUUUUGACCGAACAAAGCUGGUUUGUUGGCUACCGGCUGGUGUCACCUGAUGGUACUGUGCUACGGAGAGAGAUGUUUUUCCAGCAAUAGAAGUCGCCAGUUAGUUAAGUUGAGGAUUUGUGCGUCCUCUUCUUCAGGACUGUAGCUUGUGGUUUCAGUCGGAUAGUUAAAGCUGCAUUUUCAGUCGGACACAUGUUUGUUGUUUUGCCUGCUUUUUUCUCGACUGUGCACUCUCGCCGUUCGUCGUCGUACAAUGCUGAAGUUGUUCAUGCGGUGGAGUGGAUGAAACAAUCCUUCUGCUAUUGCCAUUGCUUUUGUUCAUCAAGAUAUCUGUCCAUGCAUAUCUUCCUGAUGAACAGACAUAAAACCUUGGAUGCCCAUAAAUAUGUUAGGUAAUAACCUGCGUUUACUGAACAUAUAUGUACUUACAUUUUUUUUUACUUUUAUAUGCUUCAACUCCAGCUAACAAUCUGCUGAUAAGAAGCGGUCCCAACAGAUUUUAUGCAUUCAAAAAGAAUUCUAACUUCAUCAAACGAAUUAGAGGACCAACCGUAGGUUUCAUGGACGUGUGAAUCAGCAGGCAAGUCUCAUUGUGUUUCUAUAUAUGUGCCAAAGAAGAACUAUACAAUACAAAGCAAACCAAUAUACUUUGCAUCUCUAUAUGACAGUCAUAGAUCAGGUAGGUAAGUACAAAGCUACUAAUUUUCAUGUAGCUAUAUCAGUUUUGUUAUGUUUUCCUCAUGUUUCCUUAAGACAAUAGAAGCAUCCUACUUUUGAGUGUAUAUGUUAGUUUAUGAGUUGAUCCAGUGUCGAAUACAAUUCAAUUGAACAUGUUCUGCCACUUUUAGGUAAACAUUCACGUGCAUAAGCAGUUUGAUACCAUGUGAAGGAAAUGACUGUUUUUUUAAGAAAUGCAUCUGGUAUGUUUGGUGAAGUUGCAUUCAACAAAGAAGAUAUGUUUAAUUGUGGGGAAAUUUCGCAGGUAAUAUCUAUCCAUGGAUAUUCUCAGUCUCUUGCUUGGAGAACCUUUUUUCCCCACCCCAUUGGUUGCUUGUAAACAUCAAUCUCAAAUUGUAGUCAUAUUAUCAGAAUACUAGAACAGGAAAAAGGGGUGUACAGUACUUUAAAAAGCUGGUGUUACUUGAGAACUUAAUGAUGCCUUUGUUCGAUGCAAAUAAUUUCAUUUUUAAGAAAAGGCUGGGACAUCUAUUGUUGUUUGUAUCUUAGUGUUACAAUGUAAAUCAUUUGUGGUAGCAAACAUGCUAAACCAGGGCGCAAGUGUGUGAUUCAUGUUGUAUUGUACAUAAAUCAGUUUUUUAUAGUCCACAGAACUAACUACAUGCUUCAUUUGGUUUUGUGUUCUUUUUUUUUUGCUUUUUUUCUUUUUCACAGAGCUGAAUGCGAGUUUCAAUAUGAGACAUCUCGAGUCUGAAGUGCAAACCGUGCAACCUCUUCUUGGACUAUGAAAAUAUGAGCCAUUAGGCUUCCUUCCAAUCAGUUGGUGCCUCAAGAAGGCUCAAAUAGGAUGGAAGACUGAUUUGAGCUUCGGUUUUGUUGGCAAAUCGAGUGGAGGAGGGACGGAGGAGAAACCAAGUCAUGGAGAAAAAAAAUGAGCCUAGACCCCAUGGCCUUGAGUUGUGUGCAUGUGUGGUGCCACAAAUUGGCGCCCAUUAGGCGGCGAUUAGACACUAAGUGGUCAUGCGAGGACAUGUGAGGGACCCAUCCUAUCCGAGUGGAACAAAUCUAUGAUACAAGUUCUCCCUCAGUGGAACAAGUCCGUGACAUUUGAUGUGCAAUUGCGAGAGGUGGUAUGAUGAACGAUGUAUAGAACAAGUAUAGGGUAUAGCUCAGUGGCUUGUGUUAUUAUUUUUUCGUUGCAACGCAUGGGGCAUUUUUCCUAGUAGAGUACUUAUGUCUUGUAAAAUUUGUUCGUUUGUCAUCGCCAUGAAAGA